rnacentral:rRNA from 1 species
GAGUGUGAGGUAGGCGGAAUGCGUUGUGUAGCGGUGAAAUGCAUAGAUAUGACGCAGAACUCCGAUUGCGAAGGCAGCUUACCAACACUUUACGGACGCUGAGGCACGAAAGCGUGGGUAUCGAACAGGAUUAGAUACCCUGGUAGUCCACGCAGUAAACGAUGAAUACUAAUUGUUCGGGGGGCAACCCCUGAGUGAUACAGCGAAAGCGUUAAGUAUUCCACCUGGGGAGUACGCCGGCAACGGUGAAACUCAAAGGAAUUGACGGGGGCCCGCACAAGCGGAGGAACAUGUGGUUUAAUUCGAUGAUACGCGAGGAACCUUACCCGGGCUCAAACGUUGGGGGAAUGCUCCUGAAAGGGAGCAGCCAGCAAUGGUCGCCAACGAGGUGCUGCAUGGUUGUCGUCAGCUCGUGCCGUGAGGUGUCGGCUUAAGUGCCAUAACGAGCGUAACCCCUGCGUCCAGUUACCAUCAAGUCAUGUUGGGGACUCUGGACGGACUGCCGGCGCAAGCCGUGAGGAAGGCGGGGAUGACGUCAAAUCAGCACGGCCCUUACGUCCGGGGCGACACACGUGUUACAAUGGCGUGGAACAGCGGGAAGCCACCUGGCGACAGGGAGCGGACCCCUAAAACACGUCUCAGUUCGGAUUGGAGUCUGCAACUCGACUCCAUGAAGCUGGAUUCGCUAGUAAUCGCGCAUCAGCCAUGGCGCGGUGAAUACGUUCCCGGGCCUUGUACACACCGCCCGUCAAGCCAUGGGAGCCGGGAGUGCCUGAAGUACGUAACCGGAAGGAGCGUCCAAGGGUAACACUGGUGACUGGGGCUAAGUCGUAACAAGGUAACCA